rnacentral:rRNA from 1 species
CCUACGGGGGGCAGCAGGGAGGAAUAUUGGACAAUGGACGAGAGCCUGAACCAGCCAAGUAGCGUGAAGGAUGACUGCCCUAUGGGUUGUAAACUUCUUUUAUAUGGGAAUAAAAUGUUCCACGUGUGGGAUUUUGUAUGUACCAUAUGAAUAAGGAUCGGCUAACUCCGUGCCAGCAGCCGCGGUAAUACGGAGGAUCCGAGCGUUAUCCGGAUUUAUUGGGUUUAAAGGGAGCGUAGGUGGAUUGUUAAGUCAGUUGUGAAAGUUUGCGGCUCAACCGUAAAAUUGCAGUUGAAACUGGCAGUCUUGAGUACAGUAGAGGUGGGCGGAAUUCGUGGUGUAGCGGUGAAAUGCUUAGAUAUCACGAAGAACUCCGAUUGCGAAGGCAGCUCACUGGACUGCAACUGACACUGAGGCUCGAAAGUGUGGGUAUCAAACAGGAUUAGAUACCCGUGUAGUC